CCUACGGGGAGCUGCAGUGGGGAAUAUUGGACAAUGGGCGAAAGCCUGAUCCAGCCAUGCCGCGUGUGUGAAGAAGGCCUUCGGGUUGUAAAGCACUUUCAGUGGGGAAGAAAGCCUUGGGGCUAAUACCCUCGAGGAAGGACAUCACCCACAGAAGAAGCACCGGCUAACUCCGUGCCAGCAGCCGCGGUAAUACGGAGGGUGCGAGCGUUAAUCGGAAUUACUGGGCGUAAAGCGCGCGUAGGCGGUCUGAUAAGCCGGUUGUGAAAGCCCCGGGCUCAACCUGGGAACGGCAUCCGGAACUGUCAGGCUAGAGUGUAGGAGAGGAAGGUAGAAUUCCCGGUGUAGCGGUGAAAUGCGUAGAGAUCGGGAGGAAUACCAGUGGCGAAGGCGGCCUUCUGGACUGACACUGACGCUGAGGUGCGAAAGCGUGGGUAGCAAACAGGAUUAGAUACCCUGGUAGUC
rnacentral:rRNA from 1 species